UACAACGUGUUUCUACAGACAUCCUUGCCAAAAUCUUUAAGAUUCUACGAUCCUGAUGAGGAAACAGCUGAUUCCUCACAAACACUUUUCAAAUCAACAUUCGCGCGGGGAUUUGCAUUGGAGAUUCUUGAAUUGUAUUCAGGACCUCCUAAAAUUGUGUACAAAUUCAGGCAUUGGGGUUUCAUGGAGGGCCCUUUUAAAGGACAUGCUCCUACCGGCGAAAAAUUGGAAGUUUUUGGGAUUGGCAUUUUUGAGGUACCAUCACUCUAUCUUCAUCUUUAACUAAUAUCCUUUUAACUUCUUCACUGGAUAGCAUCCUAGACGUUUUAUUGUGUACUACACCUUUUGUGCCUUGUUUGGUAACAUACAUGACAAUAUUAAUACAUUGUUUUGUCGACUACUGAGUAUUAAACACGUUCUUUUAUGUGCUAAAACAGUUGGAUGAAGACUCCAAGGUUGUGAAGGUGGAGUUCUUUAGUGAUCGUGGAGAACUGUUGGCCGGUCUGAUUAAGGGUAAAACCUUGGAUAAUUCCACUGAGGCGACACCUUCUGGCUGCCCUUUAAUGUCUGGCUAAUGGGAUAGCAUUGUGGAUGAAGUAGCCUUUUCAGCAGCUAUGAACUUUUUAAUAAAGGAACUGUUUGUUAAUUAUGUUAGAUGAAUAAAUCAGGAAUGUAUUGAAUGGAUAGAAAUUCUGUUCCGUAGAAAAUGUAUUCCUUUAAGGAUUUUCAAAUUAAUUGCUGCAUUUAUAUUUCUUUUGUUGGAUUUUAUGUAUAAUUUAUGACAAUAGUCGUUCUGGUUUUUGUAUUCCUCUAUUCAAUAUUUGAAAAAAAAUAAUUUCUCGACUCUUAGUCUACAAACUUUUAAACACAUAGCUUUAGUAAAAUGAAGUAGAUAUAAAAUUUGUCAGUCUCGUUUAUGAAAAAAUCAACUAUUCAAAGAAUUAAACUAUUAGUGGCAUCAAAGACAUGUUUGGUAUAUUGUAUAGCGUAUAACUAGGUAUGACUAUGGACAAAUUAUGUCAAGUGUGCCUAGUCAUGCAAUAUACCAAAUGUAUCCAAAUAUUAUCACGCGCAUUUUAAUUUCAUUUUAGAUAUAGUUUGAAUGUGUCAAAAUAAAAAAAGUCGGGUAAAAAAAAAAACCAGCAAAACAUACAUUGUUUGUGAGACUUCAUGACGUUGGACACUUGUGACGUUAAUGUGGGGUUGGACUUGUCAACUUGGUAUACUAAUUAGGAAAUUUCUACUAGUGAUAUCCUGUUUUUAGGAUUAUUAGAAUAGAUGCAAGAAAAUUUCAAUUUGGUUUGUGAUUUAAGAGGUACUACUAGUCUUUGGAAGGGGGAGAUCUAGGUCUUAGUAGAUUUGAUCCUAAGCUCACACGAAAGCAUCGCAAUCAUUUGUUCAGCUUGACACAACACAUGUAUGAGUUCGAUGUUCCUUGUCUUACAUAUAUUUUUUAAACAAAAUCUAUUUAAUUUUUGGGUCAAAUUAUAAUUAAUUAUGGGCAUUUCGUAGAAAUUAUUUUCAACAGUAAUACAAAUCCCAACCGUUGCCUUGUUUCAUCAAAUAUUUCUAUAUGAUCGAUGUCUGCUUUUCUAUAAUAGACAUUUGUUAACUAACUUAAUAGAAACUUACUUUUAGUAUGAACAAAGCUGUCUAUUUGUUUUUUUGAACAAUCAACACUGUUCUGAACAGGCUUAUAAAGUGUUUAAAUGACCAUGAAUAAGUCUAUAAAUAGUCUGCCUUGCUGCUAGGACAUUUAUACAAUUUUUCAUUGCAAAUAUUCUUGUUUUGAAUCUCACUUCCCUCUCUAAAUUCUGAUAUUAUUUUUCGAGUAUAAACACACUAUACUGAGUUCGUUGGAACUCCUAAUGAUUGUUGUGCUCUUUUCGUAGGAAAUGAAAUUCGUUCUAUGAUGGAAGAUGAUUGUUAACUGUUCUCAAGCACCAUAGUAGGAAGCAAAUUCGUCUUAAGUCAAUGGGCUUAAUCUCAAAUUGAAAUUAUGAUCAUGUUGAUCAUUUUGUUAUGCUCUUCAAAUUUAUUCAUGUAAUCUGCAAGUAUCUUCAAAUUAUUCGAAAGAGAAGAUUAUAUUCCGAAAAUAAUAGAAAUAUACUUCAACAAUAUAUAUUUAUUGAUACCAGGCUCCCAAUCUCGAUAUGAUUUUUUUAUUUUUUAUUUCCUUUUGCUUUUUAUAAGAAAAUGUAGAGAUUUCUUCCUAGCCAUUAGAGUUGGGCUGACUUGAUUUCACUCAAGAAUUGAUUUCAAUUUCAUCAUUUUUGUUACCUAUUUUGAAAAUAUUUGAAUCUGAAAGAUUUUUAUCUAAAUAACGUCUUAUCUUGCAAGUGAUAUUUUCUUAACAUCAAAGAUGUUCUCUCUCUCUCUCUCAAUGCAGUGUACGCACUAUUUUUAUAGAGACAUGUUCUUGAUCCAAAAACAGAGUAUCCAAUGCUUCUCUAGACAAACUGCCCUAAAAUUAAAAUGUCACAGAAUUGCCCUCGGCUCAUUUAUUAACUACAUUUUCUUUUCCUAAAAAAUAAAAAAAGUCACAGAAUUGGUGACAAUUAAAUAUUCUGGAUAAUUACCUAAAAAACUGACAAUGAUUAUGUCGGAUUAAUUAUUUAAUUUGAUCUCGUUCUGGCUGUGCUAUAGAGAUUGAUAAUUAAAUUGGAGAGGAGGACGGGUCUUCUGAUUUGAUUGGGAGAACUCUGCCACAGCCCCACAAGUAGGAAGUUGAUGACAUAAAUGACGUGGACUUUAACAAUAAUUUACACGCGGGUGGCUGUUUCGUCAGAAAAGUAUAAUUGUAGGGUUUUGCUACACCCGCUCUUGUGAGGGGCUGUCAUCCGAGCUAUUAUGCCCAAAUGUACAAACAGCAAAACUCAUAGUUAUAUGACUUCGGCAAUUGGUCUGGUCAAUGUACAUUUUUACCUUCUACUUCUAUUUCUUCAUCUUUUGUUCGAUAAACUUGACUGGAAAAAGUAAAAAUAUCUGGUCUUUCAGAAAAGUAUAAUUGUAGGGUUUUGCUACACCCGCUCUUGUGAGGGGCUGUCAUCCGAGCUAUUAUGCCCAAAUGUACAAACAGCAAAACUCAUAGUUAUAUGACUUCGGCAAUUGGUCUGCUCAAUGUACAUUUUUACCUUCUACUUCUAUUUCUUCAUCUUUUGUUCGAUAAACUUGACUGGAAAAAGUAAAAAUAUCUGGUCUUAAAACUCAUUUUUAAUUGCAUAGUUUCUCAAUAAUAUAAUUCUACAUGUGGACUUAUAUAAUCUUUUCCUACAUUAAAUCUAAUUCUCAAUAAUCCACAUCAAACAUGUCCUUAAUUAGACAAGGGAAAAUGAGUUUUUAGUUUCAUCUCAUUGGUUUUCAUUUUGAAUCGGAGGUUAUUUUGUUGGAUUGGAACCAUUAUAUUUUUAUUUGACUUUUAUAUAUUCCUAUAAAGCUCUCUAUACAAUAUCUAAAUUUAUAAACAAUUUAUACACACAUAUGUCAAUCAUAAAAUAUUAAAAAAUAAUUACAUUUGAGUACGCUCAAUUAUUUGCUUAAUGCUUCUUUUAGAGGUCACAACCUACCUUAUUGGUUUUAUCAGCUGUGUGGUCCGUCCUAAAAACUUCCAUUCUUGUUUGUUUCGUCCAUUAGUCGUUGGGGGCACAAUCUUGUUCCUACCACAAGUUCUUGGGCGUAGAUUCUUGGUACCAUUCGAAAUUUUAAUGGAGUGGAUUAAAAAACGAUUAAUGAAAAGUUGAAAAUAAUAUAUAAGUCAAAGUUGGCUACUAGAAAUGAAUUUAAUAAUUCGAUCUUUAAUACUUUAAUUCUCAUUUUAGAGUCACCUACUUUGACUUAUUUUUGGAGUAUACUUUUCAUCAAUCAAAGGCAGGUUCGUAAUAUAAUUAUGAAGUAUUCAUUGUGAAUCUCCUUCAUUGUGAAUCUCGCAAUACAUCUUUUAGAUUGAGCAAUUGAUCGAUAUAAAGUUCAAAAUAAUGAGCCAAAGAUAGCUGUUAGAAAAUUGAUCUUAUUAUUAUUAUUAUUAAGUUUCCAAUUUGGAGUCAUCUCAUUUGGCUUAUGUUGAGCUAUGUUCUUCCUUGUCGUGGUAGAUCAUUGGUACUGAUUCGAAGUAUUAACUGUAAAGUUCACAACAUAUCGUUCGAAUUGAAAAAUCGUUAAAUGUUGGGUUUAAUAAUGAGUCAAGGAUGGUAUGUGGAAUGGAUAAAAUAAUAUUAUCUCUUAUAUUUUGAUUCCCGUUUUGGUGUCACACUUUCGAUUUUUUUUUGAUCUAUGUUCUUCACUCACUGGUAGGUUUUUGGAAUGGUUUCGAAAUAUUCACGACAUAUGUGCAAUGCAUGUUUCAGAUUCAAAAGCUGUUAAAUGAUAUUUAAAACUUUUUUUUGACUUAUUUAUGGCCUAUAAUUUUUCAAUUGUCAGAGUAACUUGUUGAAACAGGGUUCCGUGCCAACCGCAUGGCUCCCCCACUAAUGACAACAGAUAAAGGAAAAGUCAAGAAAUCAAUCCUAUUUGAUGAGGCGCUAUUAUUGGAAUGAAUAAGUUAAGUUAAAAUUUUAUUUAUAAUUAUUUUCUUGACAAGUGACAAAUUUUUGCUAUAUAAGAAUCAAUAAAUGAGAGUCGAUCCUUAUCAAGCUUAAAGUUUCCGUUUCAAGAACUUCUAAAUUCAGUGAAACUAUGGCAACUUCUACUGCAACUGGAGACAAGUACAGGGAUUAUUUGACUGAAGAGGAUAUCAAAAACACCAAAUGGAAUUUUGGUCCUCCAAACUAUGAUGAUGUAAAUCAGCUGUUUGAAGAAGGGAGAACUAAUGUAUGCAGUUUUCGACCUUUAUUUUCGAUUUAUUACCUAAAAAUCCAAGUUACUUUCCAUUUGAUGUUUUUUUUUCCGAUUUGAUGCUAAUUUUAACACCAACGGAUAUGUAUAUGGCAGAUAUGGCCUGAAGGAUCACCUGAAGAGAAAGUGCAGAGGCUUGUGAAGACAUGGGAAAUGGAACUGGUACACAAGGCAGAUCCAAAUCAGUACAAGACCCUUGAUGCAAAGAAAUUCAAACUUAGUGUCAAUGGUAUGUUUUCUUUACAACCACAACGAUGGCGAAAAUUCUAUUAAUAUGGCAGUUAAUUAAGUACACGUUAGGGAGAGAGGUCGAACAUGGUGUCACAAGCAAUAUUAAACUCAUAUUGAACGGAUCAAGUUUGCAUGUAUAGAAUAUACUUGUGAUUAACAUGUAAAUUUACGGUAGAAAGAGAUUUUCUCAAGGAAACGCAUUUAACAAUGUUGAAUGUAACAUCAUAAACAGUUAGAAAGUUUUAAAAAUAAUUUACGCUACCUCACCCACUUAUAUAAUAACACUAAUAAACACAUUCAAAAUGUUCACCCAUGAGAUCUGGCCAAUAAGCAAGUUAAAAUAGUAUAAAAACUCGUAGGUAAAAGUCACUCUUGGAUGUGACUCGUGAUAAAUAAAUAAAUUUCUCGUUGAAAGAGACUUUCUCAAGGAAACGCAUUUAACAAUGUCGAAUGCAAAACAGGUAGAAAGUUUUUGACAUUGGAAGAAAUGAUUAAGAUUGGGGGAAGCUACAACGUGUUUCUACAGACAUCCUUGCCAAAAUCUUUAAGAUUCUACGAUCCUGAUGAGGAAACAGCUGAUUCCUCACAAACACUUUUCAAAUCAACAUUCGCGCGGGGAUUUGCAUUGGAGAUUCUUGAAUUGUAUUCAGGACCUCCUAAAAUUGUGUACAAAUUCAGGCAUUGGGGUUUCAUGGAGGGCCCUUUUAAAGGACAUGCUCCUACCGGCGAAAAAUUGGAAGUUUUUGGGAUUGGCAUUUUUGAGGUACCAUCACUCUAUCUUCAUCUUUAACUAAUAUCCUUUUAACUUCUUCACUGGAUAGCAUCCUAGACGUUUUAUUGUGUACUACACCUUUUGUGCCUNCUUCAUCUUUAACUAAUAUCCUUUUAACUUCUUCACUGGAUAGCAUCCUAGACGUUUUAUUGUGUACUACACCUUUUGUGCCUUGUUUGGUAACAUACAUGACAAUAUUAAUACAUUGUUUUGUCGACUACUGAGUAUUAAACACGUUCUUUUAUGUGCUAAAACAGUUGGAUGAAGACUCCAAGGUUGUGAAGGUGGAGUUCUUUAGUGAUCGUGGAG
rnacentral:lncRNA from 1 species